GUCACUAACUCAACCCUAAAGGGAUUGAGCUUGUAAGAAAUUGCAAGCUGUGCUGACCAGACCACCUAGUAAUAGGUAGCCGUUAUUUGAGUCACGACACCUCGGAAUGCGUAGCUAGUUCCCCGCUCUGUCGCUGUAAGUUAAACAGUUUUAAAGUCACUGAAACAGUGCUUACAGCCUAACAAGCUCUUAUAACAGGUCGGAGCUAACAUUACCCCGAAAGGG
rnacentral:sRNA from 1 species